UGGGGUCAGCACCACAAAGCGAGGUGCAGCAGCCUGCUUUUCAAAGCCAACUCCAGACUCAGAAAGCAGCCACCGCCCUGGAAUCCAUGGCAGUAAGCUGGUCACCCUCAGACCGGUAGGAAGCAACACGGGAGAGCUGACCGCACUUGACAGUUCCUGUGAACAUGCUGGAUCUAUCCACGUGGAACAUACUUGAAAUACCACGCUGUGCUUUUCCGGUGAUCAUUCCUCGACAUCCCUUAAGGGGAAAAAAUCACGCAAAGAUGCAAGCACGGACAGAAAAGACACCAAUGGGCGCUAUCAGGAUGCCCAGCAAGGAUGAUGCUGUGAGGAAAAGCAGCCAGACCCAACAGGCUACAGCCGUACGGGGCCAGUCACCUCACAGGCAAACAUUCGCCACACUCGACAGUGACAGAAGCCACAAGGGUGAGUGUGUCGGGGGAAUAGAAAUAGGCAAUGACCUGGUAGGGGCACAGGAGGAAUCUCUGGGUUACAGAAACA